UACAGAGGUCCCAAGCGUUGUUCGGAUUCACUGGGCGUAAAGGGUGCGUAGGCGGUCGGGUAAGUCUGACGUGAAAUCUUCAAGCUUAACUUGGAAACUGCGUCGGAUACUAUUCGGCUUGAGGAAUGGAGGGAGACUGGAAUACUUGGUGUAGCAGUGAAAUGCGUAGAUAUCAAGUGGAACACCAGUGGCGAAGGCGAGUCUCUGGACAUUUCCUGACGCUGAGGCACGAAAGCCAGGGGAGCAAACGGG
rnacentral:rRNA from 1 species